rnacentral:rRNA from 1 species
UGGCGAGGGGAGUGAAAAAGAACCUGAAACCGUGUACGUACAAGCAGUGGGAGCACAGGUUUACCUGUGUGACUGCGUACCUUUUGUAUAAUGGGUCAGCGACUUAUAUUCUGUAGCAAGGUUAACCGCAUAGGGGAGCCGGAGGGAAACCGAGUCUUAACCGGGCGUUAAGUUGCAGGGUAUAGACCCGAAACCCGGUGAUCUAGCCAUGGGCAGGUUGAAGGUUGGGUAACACUAACUGGAGGACCGAACCGAC